GAUGAACGCUGGCGGCGUGCCUAAUACAUGCAAGUCGAGCGAACGGACGAGAAGCUUGCUUCUCUGAUGUUAGCGGCGGACGGGUGAGUAAAACGUGGAUAACCUACCUAUAAGACUGGGAUAACUUCGGGAAACCGGAGCUAAUACCGGAUGAUAUUUUGAACCGCAUGGUUCAAAAGUGAAAGACGGUCUUGCUGUCACUUAUAGAUGGAUCCGCGCUGCAUUAGCUAGUUGGUAAGGUAACGGCUUACCAAGGCAACGAUGCAUAGCCGACCUGAGAGGGUGAUCGGCCAAACUGGAACUGAGACACGGUCCAGACUCCUACGGGAGGCAGAAGUAGGGAAUCUUCCGCAAUGGGCGAAAGCCUGACGGAGCAACGCCGCGUGAGUGAUGAAGGUCUUCGGAUCGUAAAACUCUGUUAUUAGGGAAGAACAUAUGUGUAAGUAACUGUGCACAUCUUGACGGUACCUAAUCAGAAAGCCACGGCUAACUACGUG
rnacentral:rRNA from 1 species